UACGGUAGGUGGCGAGCGUUGUCCGGUAUUUACUGGGCGUAAAGGGAGCGUAGGUCGGACUUUUAAGUGAGAUGUGAAAUACCCGGGCUCAACUUGGGUGCUGCAUUUCAAACUGGAAGUCUAGAGUGCAGGAGAGGAGAAUGGAAUUCCUAGUGUAGCGGUGAAAUGCGUAGAGAUUAGGAGAACACCAGUGGCGAAGGCGAUUCUCUGGACUGUAACUGACGCUGAGGCUCGAAAGCUGGGGAGCAAACAGGAUUAGAUACCCGGGUA
rnacentral:rRNA from 1 species